rnacentral:lncRNA from 1 species
AGUUUGGGUGGCUCGGGGAAUCUGGUGGCGCCGCUGGCGGCAACGUGGAUUUACAGGGGCGGCUCGCGUCCCCUUCGUAGCUCGGACGGGACGGGGGACACGGGUUGGAUCGCAGCCGACGUGUUUGGUAAUUUUGUACUGCGGGUACAGCCGCGCUCUGCUUUUAUAUCUGCGCCGGCGUUCCUGGCUAGAAUUGGGACUCCAGGAACCCAUCCGAGUCCGGGGCAAACAUCAGCUUUUGGUUAGAAGUUGUGC